rnacentral:rRNA from 1 species
GAUCCUGGCUCAGAAUCAACGCUGGCGGCGUGCCUCAGACAUGCAAGUCGUACGUGAAAGUCCUUCGGGAUGAGUAAAGUGGCGCACGGGUGAGUAACACGUGAGUUAUCUGCCUUUGGGUGGGGAAUACCAACCGGAAACGGUUGUUAAUACCGCAUAACGCUUGCGCUGUAAUGGCGUAUGUUAAAGCGGGGGAUCAGCAAUGACCUCGCGCCUGAAGAGGAGCUCGCGGCAGAUUAGGUAGUUGGUGAGGUAAUGGCUCACCAAGCCUGCGAUCUGUAACCGGCCUGAGAGGGCGGUCGGUCACACUGACACUGACAUACGGGUCAGACUCCUACGGGAGGCAGCAGUCGGGAAUUUUGGGCAAUGGGCGAAAGCCUGACCCAGCAACGCCGCGUGAAGGAUGAAGCAUUUCGGUGUGUAAACUUCGCAAGAAUAGGAAGAAUAAGUUUGAACAAAUAAUUCAAACGAUGACGGUACUAUUUAUAAGCUCCGGCUAACUUCGUGCCAGCAGCCGCGGUAAUACGAGGGGAGCAAGCGUUGUUCGGAUUUACUGGGCGUAAAGGGUGCGUAGGCGGCACCACAAGUCACUUGUGAAAUCUUUGGGCUUAACCCAAAGCGGCCAAGUGAUACUGUGGAGCUAGAGUGCAGAAGGGGCAACUGGAAUUCCCGGUGUAGCGGUGAAAUGCG